GUGAAUCAUCGAAUCUUUGAACGCACAUUGCGCCCUCUGGUAUUCCGGAGGGCAUGCCUGUUCGAGCGUCAUUACAACCCUCAAGCUCUGCUUGGCCUUGGGCAUCACCGGCAACGGUGGGCCUCAAACCCAGUGGCGGUGCCGUCUGGCUCUAAGCGUAGUAAUUAUUCUCGCUAUAGGUGCCUGGUGGAUGCUUGCCAACAACCCCCAACUUCUUAAGGUUGACCUCGGAUCAGGUAGGGAUACCCGCUGAACUUAAGCAUAUCAAUAAGCGGAGGA
rnacentral:misc_RNA from 1 species